CGCAGAGUAAAUGAAGUGCGUUAAGUGCUGUAGGAUGGGAUGUUGCCUACGGACGAAAAAGGACUGAUUAUUGAUUGAUCAGAUUCCUUUGCGAUACUUUGUUGCGUCCGCUGCA
rnacentral:ncRNA from 2 species